CUGUGAUGCAGUAGAGUGCUGGAGUCAUCACCAGGGGAGGCUGAGUGGCUGUGGCUUAACUACGGCAUCCUCAGAUACGUGGACUGGUUUACAGCUGCAGAGAGAUGGCUUCUGUGCACGCAGGUGGCCAUUAUGGAUGCCCGAGAUGGGCCCUAGGGCUGCCGUUCUUCAAGCCCGAUAUGAGCCUCCAGAUAAGUCCGGAGGGAACCUUUUUACCCUCAUCAUUACCACCAUCCUAACUGUUUGUAUCACCAGUGACCAAAGCGAGGCAGGAAAUAAGAUGACUGGAGGCUGUCAGAGCUGCCGUGAGAUUUAUGUUCAUUUGGAAUCUUUUUGAAAGGAGAAGAACUGUCUGGGACCCCUGGAGCACCCACAGCAAGAUGUGAAUCAAGCAAAGCAGGGGCGUUGUUUUUAAGAGGUAUCCAGUGUACAUGCCCACAGGGGAACACAGCAGCAGGAUGGGCACGUGGGGGCAUAGACUCCCAGGUGGGAGGAUACCCCAUUCUAUACUGUGCUGUAUAUCUGUAGCAAAGAACACCUUGAAUUCCUUCUUU